rnacentral:rRNA from 1 species
AACACGGAAGAUAAGCUCGCCUGCGUAUCGGCAAGUACUGGAGUGGGCGACCCUCUGGGAACGUCGAUUCGCCGCCUCCA